GUUGUUGUGGCCGCGUGGUUAAGGCGAUAGACUAGAAAUCCAUUGGGGUCUCACCGCGUAGGUUCAAAUCUUGCCGACAACG
rnacentral:tRNA from 1 species